rnacentral:rRNA from 1 species
CCUACGGGUGGCAGCAGUGAGGAAUAUUGGUCAAUGGACGAGAGUCUGAACCAGCCAAGUAGCGUGAAGGAUGACUGCCCUAUGGGUUGUAAACUUCUUUUAUAUGGGAAUAAAACGUUCCACGUGUGGGAUUUUGUAUGUACCAUAUGAAUAAGGAUCGGCUAACUCCGUGCCAGCAGCCGCGGUAAUACGGAGGAUCCGAGCGUUAUCCGGAUUUAUUGGGUUUAAAGGGAGCGUAGGUGGAUUGUUAAGUCAGUUGUGAAAGUUUGCGGCUCAACCGUAAAAUUGCAGUUGAAACUGACAGUCUUGAGUACAGUAGAGGUGGGCGGAAUUCGUGGUGUAGCGGUGAAAUGCUUAGAUAUCACGAAGAACUCCGAUUGCGAAGGCAGUUCACUGGACUGCAACUGACACUGAGGCUCGAAAGUGUGGGUAUCAAACAGGAUUAGAUACCCUAGUAGUC